rnacentral:rRNA from 1 species
UAGUCCUAGCUGUAAACGAUGAUCACUAGACGUUAGUCCCGUUCAGGGAUUAGUGUCGUAGCUAACGCGUUAAGUGAUCCGCCUGGGGAGUACGGUCGCAAGAUUAAAACUCAAAUGAAUUGACGGGGACCCGCACAAGCGGUGGAGCAUGUGGUUUAAUUCGAUGCUACGCGAAGAACCUUACCACUCCUUGACAUCUUGGUCGCGGCUCUUGUAAUGGAGAGCUUUCAGUUCGGCUGGACCAAUGACAGGUGUUGCAUGGCUGUCGUCAGCUCGUGUCGUGAGAUGUUGGGUUAAGUCCCGCAACGAGCGCAACCCUCAUCCUUAGUUGCCAGCACGUUAUGGUGGGAACUCUAGGGAACUGCCGUGACAAGCGGGAGGAAGGGUGGGGGAGUGACGGUCAAGGUCAUCAUGGCCCUUACGGGAGGUGGGGCUACACACGUGCUACAAUGGGCAUUUAC